rnacentral:rRNA from 1 species
AUUGAACGCUGGCGGCCGCCCUAACACAUGCAAGUCGAACGAGUGGCGGACGGGUGAGUAAUGUCUGGGAAACUGCCUGCUGGAGGGGGAUAACUACUGGAAACGGUAGCUAAUACCGCAUACCAUCCGAUUUGCCCCGAUUGGAGUAGCUUGUUGGGGGGGUAACGGCGCACCAAGGCGACGAUCCCUAGCUGGUCUGAGAGGAUGACCAGCCACACUGGAACUGAGACACGGUCCAGACGCCGACGUGAGGCAGCAGUGGGGAAUAGUGCACAAUGGGCGAAAGCCUGAUGCAGCCAUGCCGCGUGGAUGAAGAAGGCCUUCGGGUUGUAAAGUACUUUCAGCGGGGAGGCGUUACCCGCAGAAGAAGCACCGGCUAACUCCGUGCCAGCAGCCGCGGUAAUAC